rnacentral:sRNA from 1 species
GAUUACAGAAGUCAGGUUCAUGUGGAAAGCAGAGAGGGGCUUUGGAAAAUCAAGGGCAAAAUUAAGAAAUUGGGUAGUUCUGAAAAGGUGACUGAAAGUAAAGGGGAAAACAUCACAUGCCGGGAUCCCGUAAUAGGUGUCGGAGAGCCAGGGAAAGUCAUCCAGAAGCUAUGCCGGUUCUCAAACGUUCCCAGCAGCCCUGAGAGUCCCAUUGGCGGGACCAUCACUUACAAAUGUGUAGGCUCCCAGUGGCAGGAGAAGAGAAAUGACUGCAUCUCUGCCCCAAUAAACAGUCUGCUCCAGAUGGCUAAGGCUUUGAUCAAGAGCCCCUCUCAGGAUGAGAUGCUCCCUACAUACCUGAAGGAUCUUUCUAUUAGCAUAGACAAAGCGGAACAUGAAAUCAGCUCUUCUCCUGGGAGUCUGGGAGCCAUUAUUAACAUCCUUGAUCUGCUCUCAACAGUUCCAACCCAAGUAAAUUCAGAAAUGAUGACGCACGUGCUCUCUACGGUUAAUGUCAUCCUUGGCAAGCCCGUCUUGAACACCUGGAA